CUGAAGCCGAUUAGGCCUACAUCCUCCUUUCCCCACAGGAGACCCCUGUGCAGUGGCUACAGACCACAGCCUCCCUGGUAGUGGACACAGCCUGUUGCUUGUAUGGGUUGCCCUAAUGGACCCUGGACACAGCC
rnacentral:snoRNA from 1 species